UGUGCUGGAUGCCAUGGCCUGAAUGUUGGUGUCCCUGCAAAAUUGCUGUGCUGAAAUCCAACUCCUAAGGUGAUAGCAUUAAGAGGUGGGGUCUUUGUGGGGAGUGAUUAGGUCCUGAGGGCUCUGCCCUCAUUCAUGGCAUCAAUGCCCAUGUAAAAGAGGCCUGAGAGAACCUAUUUGUCUCUUCCACCAUGUGAGCACACAUAGAGGGCACCAUCUAUGAGGACUGGGCCCUCGCCAGACACUGAAUCUGCCGGCACCUUGAUCUUGAACUUCUCAGCCUCCAGAACUGUGAGGACUACAUUUCUGUUGUUUAUAAAUUGUCCAGCCUAAAUAAAGUAUUUUCUUAUAGCAGCCCAAACAGACCAAGACACUGGAUAUCAAUGGGCCUGAAGCAAUGGAUGAUCCAAUCACUGAAAAAUUGCCUUAGACAUCUAUAGCAAUAACUCUAUGCUGUAAAGAGAGAGGAGACAGUUAAUAAUGGAUUUUUAAUUGCUGGAAUCUGAGCCUUAGGAGACAGAAGAAGAAAAGAGUAUAAAAGAAGGCAGCUGGUCUUGUGCUUGGGGAAAGAAAAGGAGAAAAAAAAUCUGGCAUUGCGGAAACACUUCUACAAGGGCAAAAUCUUUUUCCCUUGAAGACUGGAAAUAUUAUCCAUGUUGUCCUCCGGAAUAUUUUCAAUGACUUGUGCCCUGCCAGCUCUAGCUUUUCAAGGGUCUACAUUCAUCAUCAACAGGCUGGAAAAAUGAAUGGCUUUCUAGGAGGCAUACUGUUCAACUCACCUUUACAACUUUCAAUCACUGUGGCUGAAAUAGAGUCAUGAAAGACAAGAUGUUGAUAAUACUUAUAAGAGAAAGAAGAAAUAAAAUCCCUACUUUACGUCUACUUCCUGUAACCAGAUCUGAAAACCUCAGUGACCUCUGUGGAUUAAGCUGUAUUUAUAAUUGUGGAAAUUAGACACGGUGAUGAAACACUGGUUCUUCCAUUUUCCAGAGGCUGUUUUAACACCACAUGAGUGGGGUGUCUAAUUUUUCUGACCUUUGGUUAUUUUAUUCAUACAAGCCAUGCUGACCAAAUGCCUUACUGUGUUAACUAGAAUGGCUUCAGUUAAAUAGCAACAGUGGAGAAAAAAAUAAAUUAAUGCCUCUUCUCAGCAGUGACCUGACAUUACACUUCCUGCCUUUUCUAAACUCUCCUGUAAAAUAUAUACAAUAUUAAAAUUUAAAAUCCUGACAUUUAUAAUUCUUCUAGUAAUUUGUUUCUUCUGG
rnacentral:lncRNA from 1 species